rnacentral:rRNA from 1 species
AUACGUAGGGUGCAAGCGUUAUCCGGAAUUAUUGGGCGUAAAGGGCUCGUAGGCGGUUCGUCGCGUCCGGUGUGAAAGUCCAUCGCUUAACGGUGGAUCCGCGCCGGGUACGGGCGGGCUUGAGUGCGGUAGGGGAGACUGGAAUUCCCGGUGUAACGGUGGAAUGUGUAGAUAUCGGGAAGAACACCAAUGGCGAAGGCAGGUCUCUGGGCCGUUACUGACGCUGAGGAGCGAAAGCGUGGGGAGCGAACAGGAAUAGAUACCCUGGUAGUCCACGCCGUAAACGGUGGAUGCUGGAUGUGGGGCCCGUUCCACGGGUUCCGUGUCGGAGCUAACGCGUUAAGCAUCCCGCCUGGGGAGUACGGCCGCAAGGCUAAAACUCAAAGAAAUUGACGGGGGCCCGCACAAGCGGCGGAGCAUGCGGAUUAAUUCGAUGCAACGCGAAGAACCUUACCUGGGCUUGACAUGUUCCCGACGGUCGUAGAGAUACGGCUUCCCUUCGGGGCGGGUUCACAGGUGGUGCAUGGUCGUCGUCAGCUCGUGUCGUGAGAUGUUGGGUUAAGUCCCGCAACGAGCGCAACCCUCGCCCCGUGUUGCCAGCGGAUUAUGCCGGGAACUCACGGGGACCGCCGGGGUUAACUCGGAGGAAGGUGGGGAUGACGUCAGAUCAUCAUGCCCCUUACGUCCGGGGCUUCACGCAUGCUACAAUGGCCGGUACAACGGGAUGCGACGCGGCGACGCGGAGCGGAUCCCUGAAAACCGGUCUCAGUUCGGAUCGCAGUCUGCAACUCGACUGCGUGAAGGCGGAGUCGCUAGUAAUCGCGAAUCAGCAACGUCGCGGUGAAUGCGUUCCCGGGCCUUGUACACACCGCCCGUCAAGUCAUGAAAGUGGGCAGCACCCGAAGCCGGUGGCCUAACCCCUUGUGGGAUGGAGCCGUCUAAGGUGAGGCUCGUGAUUGGGACU